rnacentral:rRNA from 1 species
UACAGAGGUCUCAAGCGUUGUUCGGAUUCAUCGGGCGUAAAGGGCGCGUAGGCGGCCAUCUAAGUCGGACGUGAAAGCCCCAGGCUUAACCUGGGAACGGCGUCCGAUACUGGGCGGCUUGGAUUCGGGAGAGGGAUGUGGAAUUCCAGGUGUAGCGGUGAAAUGCGUAGAUAUCUGGAGGAACACCGGUGGCGAAGGCGGCAUCCUGGACCGAGAUCGACGCUGAGGCGCGAAAGCUAGGGGAGCAAACGGG